rnacentral:rRNA from 1 species
GCGCAGCAGUCGAGAAACCUCCGCAAUACACGAAAGUGUGACGGGCCAUCCCGAGUGCCGUCCGCUGAGGACGGCUUUUCCCCAGUGUACAUAGCUGGGGGAAUAAGGAGAGGGCAAGCCUGGUGUCAGCCGCCGCGGUAAUACCAGCUCUCCGAGUGGUGGGGACGCUUAUUGGGCCUAAAGCAUCCGUAGCCGGCUGGGCAAGUCCUCCGUUAAAUCCAACGAUUCAAUCGUUGGGCUGCGGGGGAUACUGGUCCAGCUUGGGGGCGGGAGAGGCCGACGGUAUUCCCGGGGUAGGGGUGAAAUCCUAUAAUCCCGGGAGGACCACCAGUGGCGAAGGCUGUCGGCUAGAACGCGCCCGACGGUGAGGGAUGAAAGCUGGGGGAGCGAACCGGAUUAGAUA